UACGAAGGGGGCGAGCGUUGUUCGGAAUUACUGGGCGUAAAGGGCGCGUAGGCGGCCCCUUUUGUCGCGUGUGAAAGUCCAGGGCUCAACCCUGGAAUGCCGGUGGAAACUGUCGGGCUGGAGUCCGGAAGAGGCGAGUGGAAUUCCUGGUGUAGCGGUGAAAUGCGCAGAUAUCAGGAGGAACACCGGUGGCGAAGGCGGGUCUCUGGGCCGAUACUGACGCCGAGGAGCGAAAGCGUGGGGAGCGAACAGG
rnacentral:rRNA from 1 species